CUUGGUGCUGGGUAUUUCCUGCGGAUUAAUGACCAGCUGGGAGGAGUUGAUGGCCCAGAGCAUAGCCAAGGCCCAUUAACCUCAGCCAGCCAUUAAUCCCCAGGAAAUGCCCUGAGCCAAG
rnacentral:miRNA from 1 species